UGGCGGACGGGUGAGUAACGCGUGGGUAACCUGCCUCAUACAGGGGGAUAACAGUUAGAAAUGACUGCUAAUACCGCAUAAGACCACAGCACCGCAUGGUGCAGGGGCAAAAACUCCGGUGGUAUGAGAUGGACCCGCGUCUGAUUAGGUGGUUGGUGGGGUAACGGCCUACCAAGCCGACGAUCAGUAGCCGACCUGAGAGGGUGACCGGCCACAUUGGGACUGAGACACGGCCCAA
rnacentral:rRNA from 1 species